UACAUGGGGUGCAAACGUUGCUCGGAAUUAUUGGGCGUAAAGCGCACGUAGGCGGUUCGUUAAGUCGGAUGUGAAAGCCCUCGGCUCAACUGAGGAAGUGCACCCGAAACUGGCGAGCUUGAGUACGAAAGAGGGUCGCGGAAUUCCCGGUGUAGAGGUGAAAUUCGUAGAUAUCGGGAGGAACACCGGUGGCGAAGGCGGCGACCUGGGUCGAUACUGACGCUGAGACGCGAAAGCGUGGGGAGCAAACAGG
rnacentral:rRNA from 1 species